rnacentral:lncRNA from 1 species
GCGCUUUGGGGCCGGGCCUUUGUCCCGGGCCCUGUGACCCGGUCUCUCUUUAUCCUGCAGUCCUCCAUGUGCUUCGAAGCUCUGGCCACUCAGAGCCCAAGCCUCGGUCCCUCCUGCUCCUGCCCAGCGGCCAGGCUCCUGCACACAGAACAUGAAUUCCCAUUUAUCAAUCACUCAGUCUGGAUGAAGCGAUGUCACGAGCAUCCCUAUAGAGAGGCCCACAUGCCAAGGAGCAGAAGCUUCCUGUCACAUGGUGAGUGAGCUUGGAAAUGGAACCUCCAGCCCCGGUCGAGCCUUCGGAGAUGGCCGUCCCCACCAACAGCUCAAGAACCACGUCAGGAGAGAGCCCCAGCCGAGCCACCCAGCUCAGCCUCUCCCGGAUUCCUGACUGUCAGUAAUUGUGUGAGAUAAUAAAUAUUUACUGUUUUAAGCUGCUA